UCCGGUUUGUCACCGGCAGUCUCGCAUGAGUCCCCAACUAAAUGCUGGCAACAUGCGACGGGGGUUGCGCUCGUUGCGGGACUUAACCCAACAUCCCACGACACGAGCUGACGACAGCCAUGCAGCACCUGUCUUGCGGUUCCCGAAGGCACCCCGAGAUCUCUCCCAGGUUCCGCAGAUGUCAAGGCCAGGUAAGGUUCUUCGCGUUGCAUCGAAUUAAACCACAUGCUCCACCGCUUGUGCGGGCCCCCGUCAAUUCCUUUGAGUUUCAACCUUGCGGCCGUACUCCCCAGGCGGUGCGCUUAUCGCGUUAGCUUCGCCACAGAAGGGGUCGAUUCCUCCUACAGCAAAUGCGCACCGUUUAGGGCUAGGACUAC
rnacentral:misc_RNA from 1 species